rnacentral:rRNA from 1 species
UACGAAGGGGGCUAGCGUUGCUCGGAAUUACUGGGCGUAAAGGGAGCGUAGGCGGACAUUUAAGUCAGAGGUGAAAUCCCGGAGCUUAACUUCGGAACUGCCUUUGAUACUGGAUGUCUUGAGUGUGAGAGAGGUAUGUGGAACUCCGAGUGUAGAGGUGAAAUUCGUAGAUAUUCGGAAGAACACCAGUGGCGAAGGCGACAUACUGGCUCAUUACUGACGCUCAGGUGCGAAAGCGUGGGGAGCAAACAGG